AACCUAGCACACCUGCGGUGUGUACCUGCGGAAGGAUCAUUACAGAGUUAUCCAACUCCCAAACCCAUGUGAACUUAUCUCUUUGUUGCCUCGGCGCAAGCUACCCGGGACCCCGCGCCCCGGGCGGCCCGCCGGCGGACAAACCAAAACUCUUGUUAUCUUAGUUGAUUCUCUGAGCGUCUUAUUUAAUAAGUCAAAACUUUUAACAAUGGAUCU
rnacentral:misc_RNA from 1 species